AUGCCCAAGUCCCUGAGGAGCCCGUCCCAGUGCCAGCCACCUCUGGCGGCCACCCCUCCUGACACAGCCCGGCCUCCCGCAGCCGGUCACGGAGGAGCUGCAGGAGGGCCGGGAUCCCCGUGUGCGCUUCCGCAGGCGCCUCCUCCUCCCCGGGCCGAGCCAGGCCGACUCCAACCCGCCUGUCUUGUCAUCGCCCCGGCGCCCAGGAGAAGCCAACCGCGCGCAGCACCCGGCCGGCUCCCCACGGGCGGUGCCGAUCCAGGCCACGCUCACGCCAGCUCUGCCAAACCGCCCCUUCCCCGGCUCCCUCUUCCCGCAGCCCAUCUCCUUCGAUCUCUCUCUUCUCUCCCAGUUUUUCCCUACCCCCAGAGGCCACCUGCACCCCACUCACCUGAGGGACACCCGUGCUCCACUCCUGUCCCCAGCCCCUCCCAGCCCCUCCUUCCCACGCCUCUCGGGCCCUGCCCUCCUCCCUGCUCCUCCCAGUCAAGCUUUACCAGGCUUGUGUGGCACCGGGGACUCCCUUUUCCCUCUCCUCUGGGGCCUCUGUCUGUUUUUCCAGCCCUAGCACCUCUCUCAGUGUAUUGUCCUGGCUCUCCUCGUUCACCAGCCGUACCGCCUGGCAGUGCCUCAUGGGGACUCGACGUAGCUCCCAACUCCUUCGCCUCCCGUUCCUCCUGCAGCCCCAACGCCGCCUCACUGACCUCCUCCUCUCCCAGCACUUGCUCCUCGGAGCCCUGCGCCCUUCCCGCCGCGCUUCCCCCUGCCUGCGACAAGCCCUGUGCUGCCUCGCCCCCCGUUUUCUCCAGCGAUCCACCCGCACGUCGCCUGAAGAGUUGGUUUAUUGCUGCGUGGCUCCAUCCUGCCACCGGACAAGAGCACAAAACGCGCUUUGCCACGCUCUUCCCGUCCCGGUUGGGCAGGGGAACACCUGGGAGCAGCUCUCCCCACCGCCUCGCGCAGCCCAAGCGCCGCGGGUCCUCGCCGCGCCAGGAGAAGCCCGGGGAAAGGAGCUCGCUGGCACGCGGCGAGCGCUCCCCCUCCGCUCCGGGUUCCCAAACACCCGCCGGCUCCCCAGCUACCUGCCCGCCCCGAACCUGCCCCGCCGUGUCUCCGCGGCGCGGGCCGGGCGGCCAAACCAUUCCUUCCCAGUGA
rnacentral:lncRNA from 1 species